CGGCCAGUCUGUUUGUCCUUCCUGUCUGGCGUUUUCUGGUUCUGCUUUUGGAUCCCUUCCAGACCCGCUGGUGUCCUUUGGAGCCAGGCUGGGUACAACCUCAGGGAAUGGGACUGAUAAAUGAAAAAAAGACGACUUCCUCUUCUCUAUGAAUAUUGGUCUGUUUGGACUCCCUAUCUUACUUAAGUCAAUUUUGGGCUCAUCCAUUGGCAUUUCCUCCUGCCAUGUGACACCCUGUCUGCUUCCAGGAAUAAUGGAAGAAUCUCUCUAAAACACUCCAACGGUCCCUUUGGACCUGCUCACUGCAAACUUCUAAUAGAUCCUGGUGAUUAAAGAGUUUUUCAGAACCGU